GGCAGGUAGACUAGGGGCGGCAGGUAGACUGGAGGCAGGUAGACUAGGAGAAGGUAUACAAGGGGCAGGUAGACUGGAGGAAGGUAGACUGGAGGCAGGUAGACUAGGAGAAGGUAGACUAGGAGAAGGUAUACAAGGGGCAGGUAGACUGGAGGAAGGUAGACUGGAGACAGGUAGACUAGGAGAAGGUAGACUAGGAGAAGGUAUACAAGGGGCAGGUAGACUAGGGGCAGGUAGACUAGGGGCGGCAGGUAGACUGGAGGCAGGUAGACUAGGAGAAGGUAUACAAGGGGAAGGUAGUUUAGGGGCGGCAGGUAGACUGGAGGCAGGUAGACUAGGAGAAGGUAUACACGGGGCAGGUAGACUAGGAGAAGGUAGACUAGGAGAAGGUAGACACGGGGCAGGUAGACUAGGAGAAGGUAGACUAGGAGAAGGUAUACACGGGGCAGGUAGACUAGGAGAAGGUAUACACGGGGCAGGUAGACUAGGAGAAGUUAGACUAGGAGAAGGUAUACACGGGGCAGGUAGACUAGGAGAAGGUAUACACGGGGCAGGUAGACUAGGGGCGGCAGGUAGACUAGGGGCGACAGGUAGACUGGAGGCAGGUAGCCUAGGAGAAGGUAGAUUAGGAGAAGGUAUACACGGGGCAGGUAGACAAGGAGAAGGUAUACACGGGGCAGAUAGACUAGGGGCGGCAGGUAGACUAGGGGCGGCAGGUAGACUGGAGGCAGGUAGACUAGGAGAAGGUAGACUAGGAGAAGAUAUACACGGGGCAGGUAGACUAGGGGCAGGUAGACUAGGGGCGGCAGGUAGACUAGAGGCAGGUAGACUAGGAGAAGGUAUACAAGGGGCAGGUAGACUAGGGGCGGCAGGUAGACUGGAGGCAGGUAGACUGGAGGCAGGUAGACUAGAGGAGGCAGGUAGACUAGGAGAAGGUAGACUAGGAGAAGGUAUACAAGGGGCAGGUAGACUAGGGGUGGCAGGUAGACUAGAGGCAGGUAGUCUAGUAGAAGGUAUACAAGGGGCAGGUAGACUAGGGAGGCAGGUAGACUGGAGGCAGGUAGACUGGAGGCAGGUAGACUGGAGGCAGGUAGACUAGGGGUGGCAAGUAGACUGGAGACAGGUAGACUAGGAGAAGGUAGACUAGGAGAAGGUAUACAACGGGCAGGUAGACAAGGAGAAGGUAUACAAGGGGCAGGUAGACUGGAGGCAGGUAGACUGGAGGCAGGUAGACUAGAGGAGGCAGGUAGACUAGGAGAAGGUAGACUAGGAG
ensembl:lncRNA